GGCGAACGGGUGAGUAACACGUGAGCAACCUGCCCCUGACUCUGGGAUAAGCGCUGGAAACGGCGUCUAAUACUGGAUACGAGUAGCGACCGCAUGGUCAGUUACUGGAAAGAUUUAUUGGUUGGGGAUGGGCUCGCGGCCUAUCAGCUUGUUGGUGAGGUAAUGGCUCACCAAGGCGUCGACGGGUAGCCGGCCUGAGAGGGUGACCGGCCACACUGGGACUGAGACACGGCCCAGACUCCUACGGGAGGCAGCAGUGGGGAAUAUUGCACAAUGGGCGCAAGCCUGAUGCAGCAACGCCGCGUGAGGGAUGACGGCCUUCGGGUUGUAAACCUCUUUUAGCAGGGAAGAAGCGAAAGUGACGGUACCUGCAGAAAAAGCGCCGGCUAACUACGUGCCAGCAGCCGCGGUAAUACGUAGGGCGCAAGCGUUAUCCGGAAUUAUUGGGCGUAAAGAGCUCGUAGGCGGUUUGUCGCGUCUGCUGUGAAAUCCGGAGGCUCAACCUCCGGCCUGCAGUGGGUACGGGCAGACUAGAGUGCGGUAGGGGAGAUUGGAAUUCCUGGUGUAGCGGUGGAAUGCGCAGAUAUCAGGAGGAACACCGAUGGCGAAGGCAGAUCUCUGGGCCGUAACUGACGCUGAGGAGCGAAAGGGUGGGGAGCAAACAGGCUUAGAUACCCUGGUAGUCCACCCCGUAAACGUUGGGAACUAGUUGUGGGGUCCAUUCCACGGAUUCCGUGACGCAGCUAACGCAUUAAGUUCCCCGCCUGGGGAGUACGGCCGCAAGGCUAAAACUCAAAGGAAUUGACGGGGACCCGCACAAGCGGCGGAGCAUGCGGAUUAAUUCGAUGCAACGCGAAGAACCUUACCAAGGCUUGACAUAUACGAGAACGGGCCAGAAAUGGUCAACUCUUUGGACACUCGUAAACAGGUGGUGCAUGGUUGUCG
rnacentral:rRNA from 1 species